UCUUCGGAGAGGAGGGUGGUUGCCAAUCUUGGAUGAGGCCCCAAAUGAAAGACACCCAGAGUGGGGAGACCUUCACUCAAGUCUUGGAAUGAUGCAACCCCCCCAAGAACUCAUGUAAAACC
rnacentral:pre_miRNA from 14 species